rnacentral:rRNA from 1 species
AGUAAAUUGGUUAAGUUAGAAAGGGCGCACGGUGGAUGCCUUGGCACUAGGAGCCGAAGAAGGACGGGACUAACACCGAUAUGCUUUGGGGAGCUGUACGUAAGCGUUGAUCCAGAGAUUUCCGAAUGGGGGAACCCACUAUCUUUAGUCGGAUAGUAUCCUUACGUGAAUACAUAGCGUGAGGAAGGCAGACCCAGGGAACUGAAACAUCUAAGUACCUGGAGGAAGAGAAAGAAAAAUCGAUUUCCUGAGUAGCGGCGAGCGAAACGGAAAGAGCCCAAACCAAGAAGCUUGCUUCUUGGGGUUGUAGGACACUCUAUACGGAGUUACAAAAGAAAGUUAUAAAUGAAGCGGUCUGGAAAGGCCCGCCAAAGACGGUAACAGCCCGGUAGUUGAAAUGGCUUUCCCUCCAGAGUGGAUCCUGAGUACGGCGGAACACGUGAAAUUCCGUCGGAAUCCGGGAGGACC